rnacentral:SRP_RNA from 1 species
GCCAGGCAUGGUGGUGCAUGCCUGUAAUCCCAGCUACUCGGGAGGCUGAGGCAGGAGAAUCGCUUGAACCUGGGAGGUGGAGGUUUCAGUGAGCCAAGAUUGUGCUGCUGCACUCCAGCCUGGGUGACAGAGUGAGACUCUGUCUCAA